rnacentral:misc_RNA from 1 species
AAACGGUUGAAAGAAGCACAAGAUGAAACAGAAGAUGAAGAAAGCAAUUGUGAAACCGAAGACAUUGAUGAAGAAGAAGAUGACACUGACUAUGAUGACGUGGACUCCGAGGAUGAGGAACGUGAAGAAACUGAAGAAGAGUUUCUAGAAAGAUAUGCAAAAGCAGCAAUAGCAUUGGAUGAUGACACAAUUGUUGAAGAGGGGGAUGUGGAAGAUCAAGAGCAUGAUAUUGAAUUAGGUGUCUGGGAGGAGUUAGAUGAGCAGAGGAUUAUAUUUUCAUUGAUAGAGAGAUUCAAUCAUAUUCUCAUACGAGGGCAGGCAUUGUCUUCGCAGGUCGUAUCAAAUUUCCUCUCUGCCUAUCCCGAGUGUAAUCGUUUCUUCCAACAAUAGGGACAUUAUUCUUUGGAGGUCGAUCGAGGAGGAAGAAUAAAAUAUUUAAUUUUACUUUUAGGGACA